CUGGCAGCAAAUGGGUGAAAAGGCUGGAGGAGAAAGUCAUCGCUCCAUUAUUGGCCCUUGGACUCCCCUGGCAUCGCAUGUACAGCAUGAAGUUUUCAGCAAUGAAGGUAUAUUCUAGGCCUAUGUCCUAAUGUCCAGUGUUUUAACAGUUUUGAAAAUAGUGCCUUUAGUUUUCCAGAACGAGAACCAAGCUCUGAGGGAGGAGAACCAAGCUCUGAGGGAGGAGAACCAAGCUCUGAGGGAGGAGAACCAAGCUCUGAGGGAGGAGAACCAAGCCGUGAGGGAGGAGAACCAAGCCGUGAGGGAGGAGAACCAAGCCGUGAGGGAGGAGAACCAAGCCCUGAGGGGAAGCCAUGCACGAGCAGCUUUGUAUGACAGCGGCUCGCUUCAAGAGCAGGUGAAGCAAUUUGGGACAAUGCUGAAGACGUUUGCUCGCACUGGGCAAUCAGGUGCAGAUCAGACCCUAGUGCUGCGACGUUUUGGAGAGUUUGGCGAUGUUGUGCGUAGCAUGGAAAACAAAAUGGA
ensembl:lncRNA